GAACUUCUAAUAGCUGGUGCAAAAGCGGAUUUGGAACACAUUAUUUAGAAACUGAUGAUGUUGUACAUCAUACAUUCAGAAUCAGAACUGGUUGUUAAAGCUAGACAAUAACAAACCAUUAGGUAUCAAAAUUGUUCUCACACAAAUACAAUAUUGUUAUCAUCAAAACUUAAGGUAUAGAUGCAGAACCAAAUCUUGUUCUAAC
rnacentral:lncRNA from 1 species